GCACAUACCUGGCUCAGGGACAGCGUGAUCAGGAAGGCGGUUUCUCCCAGGGCGACACCCUGCCGUUGCAAUCCGGCCCGGUUGGUCCCUGCGAUUACCCAAACUGUGGGUAACUCGGCAAUACAAUGGUUGAAAGCGAGUUAAGUUUUGCUCGCGGUUCAACCCA